rnacentral:lncRNA from 1 species
AAAAAAAAAGAAAUAAUACAUGCUUAUUUCCCCCUUGGAAAUGCAUAUAGAUGUAAAAAGUCAUCAAACCAAAAGAACAAGUCCAUUUUAAUAUCUUAAACAUCUCCACUUUAUUUUAAAUAGGAAUGGCCCUAUUUUAAUGAGACAAAAGUAUGCUAUGGUCUUCCUUAAAAUGAUUCAUGGGGUUGGAAUAAGAUACUAGAUUUGAAAUAGUUCAAAACAGAACUCAGAUGUCUAUUAGAAAUAAUUCUAAAUUAAAUGUCUCCUCUGGAGCCAAGUAUUGACAUUGGACUUACUAAGCAAUGUGACCCUUGAAUACGUGAGUGGAUACAAUUGGAAGAGAAGUAUAUAUUAACUAUACACGCCUUACGAGGUAAUGUGACUAGCUCUGUCGGAAGACACACACAGUAAAUCCAUAGAAAAUAGUUCCAUAUAAAAUAGUGGUUUUAACCCCAUGUUACCAAUCUGCUCUUUAUACAAUGAGUAGCUUUUCUUCAGCUAAGGCAGGAGCCUCUUGUCCAACCAAAAGAAAACAAGAGCCAUUAAAAGUGAAGGAAUAAAAAUUCAUGGAAUUGAUGAAGGUGUUAAGUUCCACAAGAUGAAAACAGGGUAGAACCUUAAAAGCAGGUUGGUAAUGGUCUAUGCAGGGCCCUCCCAGUCCUGUAAAUGGGUAUCAGCAGACAAGUACUCUGGUAACUUUAAAACCAGUAAUACUGAGGCAAAACCAUUAUUUGCCUCAAAACAUGAAUUGGCUCUAAUUGAUUGAUUGAUUGAUUGAUUGGUUGGUUGGUUGAUUGAUUUAGUUUUGUUUUGCUUUGGGUUUUUCUUUUUUUUUUUUUUUAUUUUUGUUUUGUUUUGUUUUGUCUUGUUUGCUUUUAACUGACCAAAUCUGUGUUCUAAUCUAAACUAUGAGUUAGAAUCACUGAGGGGAGCUCUCUAGAAGGAGAGUGCCUGAGCCCCCGUUGUUUAGGCUAGACCUGGAUCUGUAAUUUUUAAAAAGCUCUCUGGAGAAUUCUAAUGAGGAUAGAAGAUUGAGAAGCGCUGAUCCAGGUAAUUUAUUUUUGCCUUAAUUACUUCAAUCUUUCAGGAAAAUAAGGCCCAUUCUUAUUUAUCAGCUCACCAGUGAGGCAGAGUUUCUUGAUCCAGUCUGCUAAGUUGAAAGACGCUUUUAAACAAUUUUCCAUGUCACACAAUUAUUUACAAGUAUGAUCUCCAAGAUAUGACUACAGGAGCAAUACCUACCUUUAAAUGUGGGCAAAUCUUUCUAUUUGGCUUAUUGGAAUUAGCGUUGUAGAGUUCUAUUAUGUCAAGUGUCCAGCCAAAAUGAGUGAAUGAGAUAAAUUAAAUAAAUAAAAAGUGAAUCAAGCCCCCACCGUUUGUAGACUCGGCAACUCUCAAUUUAGGAAAAUCAAAUUUAACUAUGUUAAGAUGUGAAAUUGGAACUUGUAUCCAGCAAAAGUAAUAGAGGAAACAAACUCUAGAGCAAGAACUAAAGAAAGUAUAGUUAACAUCCCUAAUUAAACAAAAACAACCCUAAUGAAUGUUAGCAUAGUAUUUAAGCCAAUCCUACUGUUUCUGCAGAGCUUUUAGUGUUUGUUCUAAAUCCUCAGUGAGAGCUCCAACCACUAAGCUGUCACUCCGCGACCCUGCCCUCAGACUGAAGUGAAGCUCUAUCUACUCUCUUCUUUACCCUCUUUCACAAGAGAAGUUUCUCAGAACACUUAGAAAUAAUAAGUCUGCUGCCUCUUCUCUCCUCAGACAGCCCGAUGAGGGGAAACAUUCAUUUUCAACCUCUGAUCUUGCUUACAGACUAUCACAUCCCUACCUUUAAUACCAAUCACCCUGAUCUUUUGUCUCCUUCUCAUGUGACUCUUUCUGUGCUGGGACUUCCUGUAGUCUGUUUCAGCAUCCUUCCUUUUACACUCUAGGGGGAAAAAAACAACAACAAGAACAACCAAACAAAACAAUCCAGAAAUGGUUUUUAAAAGGCUCUGUGAUAUUCUAAAACAGGGAUUUAAAGUUGUUCCAUUUCGGAAUGAGCAAGCUGUGUGUUGUUCUUCCUACUUCAAAACACGUUUUAAAUAAUGCGACUGUAGCAAAUUCUCCAAAUGUGCAGAUGUGUUAGCAGUCAUUUUGAGAAACACCUAGAUCUCCUAAUAAGGUGCAUGUGUGUGUGUAUGUGUGUAAGUGUGUAUGUGUGUAAGUGUGUGUGUAUACAUUUGUAUUACAAAGGUGUGUGUGUCCAUUUGUGAUUCUGAAAGCAAAUAAGUGUUGUCUCAGCCAGUCCCACGUCACGUUUUAUUAUGCAGAUUUCAGAAUAUAUACAGGAUUGUGUAACCAGCCACUAAGCACAUAAAUGAGUUUAUUCCCUUAAGCAAUUUCUCUAAUCUCACUGCUUGAGCAUGUACAUAGUUUUAUUCUGUAUUUCCCUCUUCAUCUUUUUAAAUAAAAUUCUGUGGAUGAAAAUUGUCUCCAUUUUGCAAAUCUAAUCAAUUAGCAUAAAGUAUAACCCAAUACUAUCUUCUCUGAAUUAUUAAAUAAAUAUCUUGCUUAAGAC